GAUGAACGCUGGCGGCGUGCCUAAUACAUGCAAGUCGAGCGAACGGACGCGAAGCUUGCUUCUCUGUCGUUAGCGGCGGACGGGUGUGUAACACGUGGAUACCCUACUUAUCAGACUGGGAUACCUUCGGGACACCGGAUCUAAUACCGGAUAAUCUUUUGAUCCGCAUGGUUCAAGAGUGAAAUACGGUCUUGCUGUAACUUAUAGAUGGAUCCGCGCUGCAUUAGCUAGUUGGUAAGGUAACGGCUUACCAAGGCAACGAUGCAUAGCCGACCUGAGAGAGGGAUAGGCCACACGGGAGCGGAGACGGGGUCAAGAGGCCUACGGGAGGGAGCAGUAGGGAAUCGUCCGCAGUGGGCGGAAACAUGACGGAGUAACGGCACGUGAGUUAUGGAGGUCUUCGGAGCGUAAUGCUCUGUUAUGAGGGAAAAACAUAUUUGUAAGGAGAUGUGCACUUCGUGACGGUACCUGAUCAGAAAGCCACGGCUAACUACGUG
rnacentral:rRNA from 1 species